rnacentral:rRNA from 1 species
AACGAACGCUGGCGGCAUGCCUAACACAUGCAAGUCGAACGAGACCUUCGGGUCUAGUGGCGCACGGGUGCGUAACGCGUGGGAACCUGCCCUUAGGUUCGGAAUAACUCCCCGAAAGGGGUGCUAAUACCGGAUAAUGUCUUCGGACCAAAGAUUUAUCGCCUUUGGAUGGGCCCGCGUUGGAUUAGCUAGUUGGUAGGGUAAAAGCCUACCAAGGCGACGAUCCAUAGCUGGUCUGAGAGGAUGAUCAGCCAAACUGGGACUGAGACACGGCCCAGACUCCUACGGGAGGCAGCAGUGGGGAAUAGUGGACAAUGGGCGAAAGCCUGAUCCAGCAAUGCCGCGUGGGUGAUGAAGGCCUUAGGGUUGUAAAGCUCUUUUACCCGGGAUGAUAAUGACAGUACCGGGAGAAUAAGCUCCGGCUAACUCCGUG